CGGACGGGUGAGUAACGCGUGGGCAACCUGCCCUUAUCUGGGGGAUAACAGUUGGAAACGACUGAUAAUACCGCAUAAUAUGGUUUGAAGGCAUCUUCUUUCCAUCAAAGAUUUAUCGGAUAAGGAUGGGCCCGCGUCUGAUUAGCUUGUUGGUGAGGUAACGGCUCACCAAGGCGACGAUCAGUAGCCGACCUGAGAGGGUGAUCGGCCACAUUGGAACUGAGACACGGUCCAAACUCCUACGGGAGGCAGCAG
rnacentral:rRNA from 1 species